UACGUAGGGUGCGAGCGUUAAUCGGAAUUACUGGGCGUAAAGCGUGCGCAGGCGGCUCGUUAAGUUCGAUGUGAAAGCCCCGGGCUCAACCUGGGAAUUGCAUUGGAAACUGGCGGGCUUGAGUGUGGCAGAGGGGGGUGGAAUUCCACGUGUAGCAGUGAAAUGCGUAGAGAUGUGGAGGAACACCGAUGGCGAAGGCGGGUCUCUGGGCAACAACUGACGCUGAGGAGCGAAAGCGUGGGGAGCGAACAGG
rnacentral:rRNA from 1 species